AUGCUGUCUGUGAGCUCGCCGAGGGUGCACAUGAGCCGGAACGUCGUGGAUUUGGGCCUGCUGGCCGCCUGCCGCUGCCGCCGCUGGGCCGCGCGCCCGGCGCCCAGGCGGCGCGCGCCAUGUGUUUGUUUCGUGGCCGCACCCAGCCAGACAGGUUUGUGUGUCUCUCUUACUACCAUGCCUUACCUUAUCUCUGCUGGUUGGUUCAGAGACGUUCGGUACAACACACUAAGCAGCACACGUCCUGCCUGUAGUACCACCGUUGCUUGGAGUGAAGCUGACCUAUUAAAAUUCUUCUAUGUAGGUCUUGCGGCGAUCGACGUGCCGGCGGCAGAGACCAUUGCCAGCGCGGCGGCCGGGACGGCGAGGCUCCCCGAGCGCGUGUCCAUCGCUUCGCUCUUGGAUGUCGUCUCGGAUGACCUGCUCAAGCUCAACAACAACCUCAAAUCGCUUAUUGGUGCAGAAAACCCAGUUUUAGUAUCUGCCGCAGAACAAAUUUUUGGUGCUGGUGGAAAGAGAUUAAGACCAGCAUUGGUUUUCCUGGUGUCCAGAGCAACAGCAGAAGUAGCUGGCUUGUCGGAGCUAACUACAGAACAUAAACGUUUGGCUGAGAUCAUAGAAAUGAUUCACACUGCGAGUUUAAUACAUGAUGAUGUCAUAGAUGAUAGUGGGAUGCGCAGAGGGAAAGAAACCAUUCAUCAGCUAUAUGGAACACGGAUAGCGGUGCUUGCUGGUGAUUUUAUGUUUGCACAAUCUUCUUGGUUUCUGGCAAACUUGGAAAACAUUGAGGUUAUAAAGCUCAUCAGCCAGGUGAUCAAGGACUUUGCUAGUGGUGAGAUUAAACAGCAGUCGACCCUUUUCGACUGCGACGUCACCCUGGACGACUACCUGCUCAAGAGCUACUACAAGACUGCCUCCCUGCUCGCUUCAAGCACGAGGUCUGCGGCCAUAUUCAGCGGGGUGAGCACCGCCGUAUGCGAGCAGAUGUACGAGUACGGCAGGAACCUGGGGCUGUCGUUCCAGGUGGUGGACGACAUCCUCGACUUCACGCAGUCGGCGGAGCAGCUGGGCAAGCCGGCGGGGAGCGACCUGGCCAAGGGGAACCUGACGGCCCCGGUCAUCUUCGCGCUGCAGGAGUCGCCAGAGCUGAGGGAGAUCAUCGACUCGGAGUUCUGCGACACGGGCUCGCUGUCGGCGGCCAUGGAGCUGGUGCACAGGAGCGGCGGUAUCCGGCGGGCGCAGGAGCUGGCCAAGGAGAAGGGCGACCUGGCGCUCCAGAACCUGCAGUGCCUCCCCAGGAGCCAUUUCAGGACUGCACUUGAGAACAUGGUGAAGUACAACCUUGAGAGGAUCGACUAG
rnacentral:rRNA from 1 species